rnacentral:snRNA from 1 species
GUGCUCACUGAAGCAGCACAUAAAUACUAAAAUUGGAAUGAUGCAGAGAUUAGCAUGUCCUCUCAGCAAGAAUGGCCCAAAAAGUUGUCUUAAGUUUUC